CGCCGCGUGGAGGAUGAAGUCCCUUGGGAUGUAAACUCCUUUCGACCGGGAAGAUGAUGACGGUACCGGUAGAAGAAGCACCGGCUAACUCUGUGC
rnacentral:rRNA from 1 species